AUUGAACGCUGGCGGCAUGCUUUACACAUGCAAGUCGAGCGGCAGCGCGGGGUUCAGGCAACUGAGCCCUGGCGGCGAGCGGCGAACGGGUGAGUAAUACAUCGGAACGUACCCAGGAGUGGGGGAUAGCCCGGCGAAAGCCGGAUUAAUACCGCAUACGAUCUGUGGAUGAAAGUGGGGGACCUAAGGGCAACUGAGGGCCUCACGCUUUUGGAGCGGCCGAUGUCCGAUUAGCUAGUUGGUGGGGUAAAGGCCUACCAAGGCGACGAUCGGUAGCUGGUCUGAGAGGAUGAUCAGCCACACUGGGACUGAGACACGGCCCAGACUCCUACGGGAGGCAGCAGUGGGAAUUUUGGACAAUGGGGCAACCCUGAUCCAGCCAUGCCGCGUGCGGGAAGAAGGCC
rnacentral:rRNA from 1 species